UAACCUGCCCAAGAGAUCGGGAUAACACCUGGAAACAGAUGCUAAUACCGGAUAACAACAGAUGAUGCCUAUCAACUGUUUAAAAGAUGGUUCUGCUAUCACUCUUGGAUGGACCUGCGGUGCAUUAGCUAGUUGGUAGGGUAACGGCCUACCAAGGCGAUGAUGCAUAGCCGAGUUGAGAGACUGAUCGGCCACAUUGGGACUGAGACACGGCCCAAACUCCUACGGGAGGCAGCAGACC
rnacentral:rRNA from 1 species